CAAAAUAAAAUCUUGCUUUACUUUGAAGAAUAAAGCUCAGAGUGUAAUUAGCUUUUAAACACCAAUUGAGGACAUUAAACAAACAUUUACUCUAGACCUACUAUGUGCAAGACACUUGCUAGGUGUGAUGGUGAGUAAAAAAUAAUCACCUAGUAAGAUUAACAAGUUUCAUUAAAUAGAUUUUUGAAAAAGCCAUUAACAGAAUCUCAAUUCAAAACAUAAUUGCAAAGAAUAUUUUUAUAUGAAAUUUCGAAUAGUACUCCAUGAUAUAGGUGCCAUGGUGGUUUUGUAUCUAUAAAGACACGAUACUCAUUUAUGGUGACAUAUUAAUAACAAAGCUAGUUUCAGAAACACUUCAGUAUUUUAAUCAUACUAGCAUAAAUAUAUGGCUCAUAAUAAACUUUUAAUGAAAAAGGUAAAAACUCUUGGGUACCAAAUGAGCAAAACAAAAAACAGAGAUUCCUCUAUGUAAAAGAGGAUAUAUCUGAAAGUCUGCACAGAUCAUAAGAGAGUGUCUUUUUGAGUUUUUCAACUAAUUUAUUUAGAAAGAAGUUGAUAGACUCCAAUGAGGUUUAGCAGAUGCAGGAAUUCUAAUUGCUUUUUGCUUAAAAAACUUAGUCGAAGAGCCAAUAUAGAAUUUUACACACUAUGGAAGUCAAGAAUCUGAGUUCAGGAAAGUGUAUCUAGUCUCAGCAUUAUAGAAGUAUACCUCACAUGGAUGUAGAAAUAGACCUCAGUUUCUAUACCCCAUUGUAGAAAUUUAUAUAUACCUUGACAAUGGGUACAAUAGACUAAAUAUAAUAUGCGCAAACAGAAGGCAAAUAAAACUUUAAUUUACAAAGGAGAUAAAUAUGAAUAGUACUAACCUCUGAAAUGAAUAUGGUUUUAAAUAUUUCUUUCAUAAUAUCUACUUAUGUAAAUAAUUAUGGAAAAGCAAAUACAGAAAUUUGGUGCCUACCUUAAAGAAUAAAGAAAAUUAUUGGAAGAUAUAUUACCCAUAGAGCGAAAAUACAUCUUCCCAUUAUAGUAGGGUUAGAGGUUACAUCAUAAAAUACUUUACUUGAGUUUUUUGUGGUUUGCCUCAGAUGAUUAGUUUGGAGAAACAGAUGAGCUAGUACUGAGUUAGCUGCUGUUAUGUGAAGCAAUGUUUAGAGACAACAGGGUUUCAUUUUAUUCUAGAGGUACUACAUACACUUUUUUGAAGGAUAUUUUGAGAAUAUAAAAUAAAAAUUUAGGGUAACAUUUUACAGUUGAAAUUGUUCUUUUUCACAAAGUUAUUUUAUAACUCCUAUGGUAAUUUAUUUUUAUAUUGCUAUGUAUUUUAAAAAGCAUACUUGAACUUUAACAAUUCUGCCAAUGUAAUUACAAGUUUUAUCCAUUUUGAGGUAGGAAAAUUAGCAUAUUCAGCCAAUUGUUACAUAUAUGACUAUAUAUAUAUAUAUAUAUAUAUAUAUAUAUA
rnacentral:lncRNA from 10 species